rnacentral:misc_RNA from 1 species
GGAAUAAUUGCACUUCUUGAUGAAGCCUGCAUGUUCCCAAAGUCCACUCAUGAAACAUUCGCACAAAAGUUGUACCAAACAUACAAAGUACACAAGCGUUUCAGUAAACCAAAGCUUGCGCGAACUGCCUUCACCAUCAACCAUUAUGCAGGAGAUGUGGUAUACCAAGCUGAUCAGUUCCUCGAUAAGAACAAAGAUUACGUUGUGGCAGAACAUCAAGC